rnacentral:lncRNA from 1 species
AGUGUUUGACCCAAUCCACUGCUCUGUCCUCUAAAGGAAUUAAGCAAAAAAAACAUUUUUUUUUUCUCUUCAGGACAGAUCUUCAGAAGGGAAGGAUCAUAAAAGGAUUAUGGGAAUUCAGAGCCAUAAGAGAAUUUAGAGAUCAUGUGACAUCCUGGAACUCAAGACCACAGAGAAAGUUUGCAAAAUCUGGAAUCUCUUAGGCUCUUUGGUAUCGGAAAUGUUUAACAUGAAGAGAUGUUCUACACAUCAGAUAUCCACACAUUUCUGAUAAAAUCUUAGGUAAAGUCUUUACAUAUAGUAUAAACUAAAAAGUAUGAAAUCAGUCUUGUUAAAUGGAAUGAUUUUAAUGUAUUAUUUAAUUGUAUUUUUUUUUUCUAUGUGGACAAAUCAAACUUUGUUUCCUG